UCCAGCGCUCCUCACCUACACAUCAAACACAACAUGGCACCUGCUGGCAGUGUUGUUGUGGUAGCUCUCUCACUUCUGUACUUAUCCCGUGCUAUAUUUUCCACGGAAUACCUCUCUACACUCACUUUCUUCAAUAGCGAACUGCACAAACAUGGUUGCAGCUCUCCGUCAGAGUGGGAGGAAUACACAACGGAUUGCGAGUCCUUUAUUCUACAGUUGGAGGACCCAGACUGUGAGGAAGGAAGCAACCCACCAUGCGAGUCUGUCUUCUCUCUCAACGCAGAGAAAAUCCUGAGACAAGCCAAGUUGUUUAUAGAGCAGAAGCGAUUCCCUUUUGCAGUGGACAACCACAACACAAAUGAGGAGCUUGCUAUAGGAUAUGUUCUUAUUGGCAAUGGCCUGUACGAUGAAGCCAUCAAACACUUCUCCUUGUUACUACAGGGGGAUCCAGAGGUAGUCAGUGCCAUCUAUGGGAGAGGGAUAGCAUACGGGAAAAAGAGUCUGCAGGACAUCAAGAAUGCAGACUUGGCGCUGUUCGAGUUGAGCCGAGUCAUCACUCUGGAGCCCAACCGCCCUGAGGUAUACGAACAGCGGGCAGAGAUCCUUUCUCCGCUUGGGAGGAUCAGUGAGGCUCUGAGUGAUCUCUCCAAAGCCAUCCAGCUCCAGCCCUCCGCCCGCCUCUACAGACACAGAGGAACUCUGCUCUUUAUCGCCGAGGAUUAUGUGGCAGCUAUGGAUGAUUUUCAACAGUCUUUGGAUCUGAAGAAAAAUCAGCCCAUUGCCAUGCUAUACAAAGGUCUAACAUUCUUCCACAGAGGAAUGCUAAAGGAAGCCAUCGAAACAUUCAAGGAGGCCCUGAAAUUAAAAUCUGACUUCAUAGAUGCGUACAAAAGUCUCGGACAGGCCUACAGGGAGCUUGGAGACUUUGAGGCAGCUAUGGAGAGCUUCCAGAAAGCCCUGAUGCUCAACCAGAACCACAUCCAGUCUCUGCAGUUGAGAGGCAUGAUGCUGUACCACCAUGGCAGUCUCCAGGAGGCAGUCGGCAACUUCAAGAGGUGUCUACAGUUGGAGCCCUACAAUGAGGUAUGUCAGUACAUGAAGGGUUUGAGCCACGUGUCCAUGGGUCAGUUCUAUGAAGGCAUCAAGGCUCAGACUAAAGUCAUGUUGAAUGACCCUCUGCUGGGCCAGAAGGCAAGCUCGGAAUAUCUCAAAGUGAAAUACCUCCGAGAAUACUCUCGCUACUUGCACUCACAUCUCGACAAACCUGUGGCAGAAUACAAUGUUGAUCAGGAUCUUCCAGGGAACUUCAAAAACCACUGGGCAAAACACCUUCCUUUCCUUAUAGAGGACUAUGAGGAGCAGCCAGGACUGCAGCCUCAUAUUAAGGAUGUUCUACCUCAGAACUUUGAAAGCUACAACAUUGAAGUUCAGAAGCUCAUUUGCGCUGCUGAUCACCUUGGUGCCCUUAUGCAAUACGACACACCAGGAUUUCUUCCCAAUCGCAGAAUACACAGAGCCAUGGGCCUAGCGACCCUGGAGGUCAUGCAGGCUAUGCAGCGCACCUGGAGCAAUUCAAAGGUGCGAGUCAACGGCAAAACCAGGCAGAUGCAGUGGAGAGACAUGUUCGAUAUUGCCGUCAAAUGGAGGAGGAUCGCUGAUCCAGACCAGCCUGUUCUGUGGCUGGACCAGAUGCCUGCCAGAAGUCUCAGCCGAGGGUUCAAUAACCACAUUAACCUCAUCAGAGGACAAAUCAUCAACAUAAGAUACUUGGCCUACUUUGACAACAUACUCAAUUUCAUUAAAGACAGAAUAUUGGUUUACCACAGGGCAUACAACCCAAGAGGCCUACUGGAAGUCAGACAAGCACUGGAAAAUGUCAACACGGUGGAAGACCUUCUCCCCAUAAUGAAGUUUAACAGUAAAACGAGAGAUGGCUUCACAGUUAACUCCAAGGUGCCCAGUCUAAAAGACCCUGGCAAAGAAUAUGACGGCUUCACAAUCACCAUAACAGGAGACAGCACCACGGCGGUUGUAUGGACCAUGUUACAGACCACAGUGUUUGUUCAGACGGUGUGUAUUUGUGUGGCCUUAGAGUGGGCAACAUGCUGUUCUCAGUGGAGACCCAGACCACAGAGGAACGCACUCAGCAGUACCAGUCUGAGAUUGAGUCCAUCUAUAAAGACCUGACUGCCAAGGGCAAGGCUCUCAUGCUGUCCACUGAACUUGGGGAUGCAGAUGCAGUGUGUAAUUUAAUUCUCUCCCUGGUUUACUACUUCUGUAAUCUCAUGCCCCUCUCCAGAGGUUCUAGUGUUGUGGCAUACUCUGUUGUCAUGGGAGCACUGAUGGCCAGUGGAAAGGAGGUGAUAGGCAGAAUCCCCAAAGGGAAGUUGGUUGAUUUUGAAGCCAUGACAACACACAGUCCUGACAGCUUUAGUAAAACAGCAAAAAACUGGAUGAAUUUAAAGAGCCUACCAGUGUGGUACCAGAGUCUUCCGUCAGUAGCAGGAACCUUCCCAACGACUAGAACCAUGAUUGAGGUCCUCAACACGGACUCCACAUCGCACUGUCCAAAGAAGUCCUAACACCACUUCUUCUGAUGAGAACAAGGGCCUGUCUGUCUGCUCAUAGUCUCUGGCCAAGCUCAACCCCCAAAGCACAAUGUCUGUCUAAAAAUAAUUCAGAGCAACUACAUGUUGUUCAGGUAUGGCCCUAUGUAUGCAAUACCAGCAAAACCCUAGUGUCUAGUAUGUAAAAGCUAUGAAAUGUAACUAAUUACAUUCAUUUGAAUGAUAGGUAAUCUCUCGAUUGUGAUUGCCACAAUUCUGUUUUUAACAACCCUCACAGCUAUUCAGUCUAAGCAGAGAAAGUGUGGGAUGAGAUUCUAAGAUGUAAACUUAACUUCAGGGCUAUGCAGUUCCACUUGGGAUACUUGAACAUUUAGAAAAGUGAAGCAAUCCUUUUAUUUAGUCUUGUUGAUAUUGGACAGUGUUGCUCUGUGCCAUUGCCAUUUUCUGGAAUUGUUUUUAUCUUGACCCAAAAAGGGCACGAGGAAGGGUUGGUUUCAGGUUGUGUCCAACUUGUUUUGGGAAAAGAACACAUUGUGCCAUGAUAUCGUUCCUCUGGGUUUAUUUUGAGACCUCUGUGAUUUUCAUUGUUGCUUUUCUUUUUUUUGGUAAAUGUUUGAAUAAUUUGACCAUGGUCUUAUAGACACAACAUUAGAACAAACGUUCAGGGAUUUAUUUUGGGGAUUUUGUUCAAUUGCUCUGAAGAACCUCAUUUCAGGACAAGCUUUGGUUUUCAGUUUAUGUUCCCCACUUACCAUUUUACUGUUAAUGACAGGAUAGAAUAUGCAUUGCCUGCAUGGGUCCUUAUUGAAUGAGCUCCAGAGGAUCACUACAACAACAGGGACCACUGCUUAAUUGUCUUUUUUUGGCAGAACUACUGUUUAAUAAUGUUUCCAUAUCAAUGAUUGUGCUGAAUUGCUGGGAUUUUUUUAUUUUAUUUUAGCACUGGGUGAAUUAGCUAUGUUUAUUAAAGCUCAAAUGUGGAUUUUUAAGUGAGCAAUAUGUCCCAUCUUGAAGUUUUAAACUUGAAGGAAUGACAUCUGGAGAUUUUGGGGAAUUGGUAUGUUCAAUACAAUUGGUUGACAAAUGA